AAAACUUUCAACAACGGAUCUCUUGGUUCUGGCAUCGAUGAAGAACGCAGCGAAAUGCGAUAAGUAAUGCGAAUUGCAGAAUUCCGUGAGCCAUCGAAUCUUUGAACGCACAUUGCGCCCUCGGUACUCCGGAGGGCAUGCCUGUUCGAGCGUCAUU
rnacentral:rRNA from 1 species